CACAAUGUAGUCUUUAAAGAGUUUUUAUUUAGGGGGAGAUUUUCUCUCUCAUUAAUUUUUAUGUUUUUUAUAUUAGGAUUUAUAUGUAGGCCAAUUGACCAAAUAAUAUAAUAAUAUUAAGUCUUUUAGUAUUGUUUUAUGUGUCUUCUGAAUUGCCACCAUAAUGGUUUACAAAUAACAGCUUUCGCAUGACGCCCUCUCGAUUUCGAACCCAACAAGUGGUAUCAGAGCCCACGGUUCAAUAAAUCGAUGGUUCAAUUGUUGAAAAAAGUUGCAAUCAAUUUAAUGAUAAUGAAGAUAUAUGUUCAAAGGCUCGUAUACUUUUAACCCAAAAGCUCCAUUUUUAAGCAUGUCAAGCAGCAGGUAUGAAGACUAUGUGAAGAACAAAGAUUAAAGAUGUGAAGAAGGCGGAUUAAGUGAAGAAAAUCAAGCUAAAAAGGAGAGAUUUGUUAGGUUUUUGUCCUGAUUUUCUUACUAUAUUUAAGUUUUAUUUUUUUUAGAAGGAAAACAAAAGUUACCAUAAUUACUUUUACUUUUCCUGAAAGAAAAAACAUAUAAUUCUUUUCCAUAUUUGGCUAACCUCUUUCUUGGAGGAAAUGUUUUGAAUAUCUAUAAAUAGAAGACCCCUUCUCAUACCAUAACACAAUAGCAUCCAC
rnacentral:lncRNA from 1 species